rnacentral:rRNA from 1 species
GACGAACGCUGGCGGCGUGCUUAACACAUGCAAGUCGAACGGAAAGGCCCAGCCUGCUGGGUGCUCGAGUGGCGAACGGGUGAGUAACACGUGGGUGAUCUGCCCCUAACUUCGGGAUAAGCUUGGGAAACUGGGUCUAAUACCGGAUAGGACAAUCGUUUAGUGUCGGUUGUGGAAAGUUUUUUCGGUUAGGGAUGAGCCCGCGGCCUAUCAGCUUGUUGGUGGGGUAAUGGCCUACCAAGGCGUCGACGGGUAGCCGGCCUGAGAGGGUGGACGGCCACAUUGGGACUGAGAUACGGCCCAGACUCCUACGGGAGGCAGCAGUGGGGAAUAUUGCACAAUGGGCGCAAGCCUGAUGCAGCGACGCCGCGUGGGGGAUGACGGCCUUCGGGUUGUAAACCUCUUUCGACAGGGACGAAGCUUUGGUGACGGUACCUGUAUAAGAAGCACCGGCUAACUACGUG